GCAGAGUAGUAGUAGUCCUAUAGGAGUUGGUUACUACUGUACGAGAGUUGAAACUGAAAGCCAAUGCGGAAGACUGGAUAACUUUCCUCAACUCAUCACUCAUCAAACUCAGAUCAUUGUGCUCGAAACGUCACACCGGUGAUAUCCAAAUAAAUUGCCUGCAUUGGGAACUGCAGUCAUGGAUAAGACACCACAGUGUGGCAACUCUGGAGAAGACGUUAAUACGAGCUUGAAGCAAUCAGAGUGCAUCACAAGCCAGCCG